AUGGAUAGCAUGGAUGGAAGAUUCCUCACUAUACUGCUGAGGCUUCUUAUGCUCUGCCUUACAGGAACCAGAUGUGACAUCCAGUUGACCCAGUUGCCAUCCUCCCUGUAUGCAUCUCCAGGAGACAAAGUCACUAUCACUUGCAAGGCAAGUCAGAACAUUAACCAGUACUUACACUGGUACCAGCAGAAACCAGCAGAAGCUCCUAAGCUCCUGAUCUACCGUGCAUCCAAUUUGCAGACAGGAAUUCCAUCUAGGUUCAGUGGCAGUGGGUCUGGAACAGAUUAUUCUCUCACUAUCAGCAGCCUAGAUCCUGAAGAUGUUGCAGUUUAUUACUGUCAGCAAGGUUAUAUACCUCCACAGUGA